rnacentral:rRNA from 1 species
UACGGAAGGUCCAGGCGUUAUCCGGAUUUAUUGGGUUUAAAGGGAGCGUAGGCCGCCUGGUAAGCGUGUUGUGAAAAAUACCGGCUCAACCGGUAUCCUGCAGCGCGAACUGCCUGGCUUGAGUGUGCGCAACGUUGGCGGAAUUCGUCGUGUAGCGGUGAAAUGCUUAGAUAUGACGAAGAACUCCGAUUGCGAAGGCAGCUGACGGGAGCACAACUGACGCUGAAGCUCGAAAGUGCGGGUAUCGAACAGGAUUAGAGACCCUGGUAGUCCGCACGGUAAACGAUGGAUGCCCGCUGUUUGUCCUGAUGGACAAGCGGCCAAGCGAAAGCGUUAAGCAUCCCACCUGGGGAGUACGCCGGCAACGGUGAA